CUAGAGAGCAGUGCUACGGCCACUUGUCUUCACGUCAGUCUGCACGAAAGGACAUCAGGAUGGUGAAAUGUGCUUUUUAGAACUUGUGGAAACAUACAGAAGAAAUGGACAAAAGAAAGUGUCCACCGCUUCCCUGUGAAGAACGAGGAACUACAUAAACUUUGGUUACUCUCUGCUGGAUAUGACAUUGACACACCGGUGGAAAAAGGACUAAAAUGGCGAAUUUGCAGCAAGCAUUUCGCAACAACCGACAUCAGGAAAACAUUUUGUGGCUACUCUCUCCUGAAAUCAAAUGCUGUGCUUUCGACUGCCCAAACAGCUUCAAGAUCUUCUGAUAAACAGGUAAGAUCUGCUGUACCACAGUCCACGCCAGUGAAGGAUACCACAUCAACAUCAGGCCAGCCGAGGACAAUUCAACAAUCAUCACGAGUGACCUGGAGGUAUACCACCGUGCGAUGCUGAAGUACACCCAAAAGAGGCUCCACUUUGUCUGUAACUCCAUGAAGGCAAGGACACUGAUGUCUGUUAUGGACCACAAUGAAAAUGUCGGGCGCCAGCAACAGAGGAACGCUGAUGGCACUUUGAAAUACAGCUCGGAGUUUCCAAAGCAAACAAAAAGAUGGGUUGCCCGGAGCAGUUAGGAGCCAACAACGCAGACAUUCACAGAGAAUUUGGUGGACGCGUGUCCUGGAAAGACGGCAGGAUUCAUCAUUAAAGUUUGCUGAGCCAGACUUCUAUUUCAAGCCUCCAGCUACUAUUCCACCGAACAUUGUAAACAUCGAAAGGCCUGACAAAGAAAAAGUUAUUUUACAACAUGUCAGUCGCUUUAAAAAAUAAGUAGGCAGACAUUUUCCUUUUUUUUUUUUUAAUAGAUAUUUUAUAAUGUAGAUAUUUUUGA